GCCCAGGUAGCUCAGUCGGUAGAGCGCACCCUUGGUAAGGGUGAGGUCGCCGGUUCAAGUCCGGUCCUGGGCU
rnacentral:tRNA from 1 species